UGGGGAAUAUUGCACAAUGGGCGCAAGCCUGAUGCAGCAACGCCGCGUGAGGGAUGACGGCCUUCGGGUUGUAAACCUCUUUUAGCAGGGAAGAAGCGAAAGUGACGGUACCUGCAGAAAAAGCACCGGCUAACUACGUGCCAGCAGCCGCGGUAAUACGUAGGGUGCAAGCGUUGUCCGGAAUUAUUGGGCGUAAAGAGCUCGUAGGCGGUCUGUCGCGUCUGCUGUGAAAUCCCCGAGGCUCAACCUCGGGCCUGCAGUGGGUACGGGCAGACUAGAGUGCGGUAGGGGAGAAUGGAACUCCUGGUGUAGCGGUGGAAUGCGCAGAUAUCAGGAAGAACACCGAUGGCGAAGGCAGUUCUCUGGGCCGUAACUGACGCUGAGGAGCGAAAGCGUGGGGAGCGAACAGGAUUAGAUACCCUGGUAGUCCACGCCGUAAACGUUGGGCGCUAGAUGUGGGGACCAUUCCACGGUUUCCGUGUCGCAGCUAACGCAUUAAGCGCCCCGCCUGGGGAGUACGGCCGCAA
rnacentral:rRNA from 1 species